CGAUCGGUAGCCGGACUGAGAGGUUGAACGGCCACAUUGGGACUGAGACACGGCCCAGACUCCUACGGGAGGCAGCAGUGGGGAAUAUUGCACAAUGGGGGAAACCCUGAUGCAGCGACGCCGCGUGGAGGAAGAAGGUCUUCGGAUUGUAAACUCCUGUUGUUGAGGAAGAUAAUGACGGUACUCAACAAGGAAGUGACGGCUAACUACGUGCCAGCAGCCGCGGUAAAACGUAGGUCACAAGCGUUGUCCGGAAUUACUGGGUGUAAAGGGAGCGCAGGCGGGAAGACAAGUUGGAAGUGAAAUCCAUGGGCUCAACCCAUGAACUGCUUUCAAAACUGUUUUUCUUGAGUAGUGCAGAGGUAGGCGGAAUUCCCGGUGUAGCGGUGGAAUGCGUAGAUAUCGGGAGGAACACCAGUGGCGAAGGCGGCCUACUGGGCACCAACUGACGCUGAGGCUCGAAAGUGUGGGUAGCAAACAGGAUUAGAUACCCUGGUAGUCCACACCGUAAACGAUGAUUACUAGGUGUUGGAGGAUUGACCCCUUCAGUGCCGCAGUUAACACAAUAAGUAAUCCACCUGGGGAGUACGACCGCAAGGUUGAAACUCAAAGGAAUUGACGGGGGCCCGCACAAGCAGUGGAGUAUGUGGUUUAAUUCGACGCAACGCGAAGAACCUUACCAAGUCUUGACAUCCUGCGACGGACAUAGAAAUAUGUCUUUCCUUCGGGACGCAGAGACAGGUGGUGCAUGGUUGUCGUCAGCUCGUGUCGUGAGAUGUUGGGUUAAGUCCCGCAACGAGCGCAACCCUUAUGGUCAGUUACUACGUAAGAGGACUCUGGCCAGACUGCCGUUGACAAAACGGAGGAAGGUGGGGAUGACGUCAAAUCAUCAUGCCCUUUAUGACUUGGGCUACACACGUACUACAAUGGCGUUAAACAAAGAGAAGCAAGACCGCGAGGUGGAGCAAAACUCAGAAACAACGUCCCAGUUCGGACUGCAGGCUGCAACUCGCCUGCACGAAGUCGGAAUUGCUAGUAAUCGUGGAUCAGCAUGCCACGGUGAAUACGUUCCCGGGCCUUGUACACACCGCCCGUCACACCAUGAGAGCCGGGGGGACCCGAAGUCGGUAGUCUAACCGCAAGGAGGACGCCGCCGAAGGUAAAACUGGUGAUUGGGGUGAAGUCGUAACAAGGUAGCCGUAGGAGAACCUGCGGCUG
rnacentral:rRNA from 1 species